rnacentral:rRNA from 1 species
AUACGGAGGGUGCAAGCGUUGUUCGGAAUCACUGGGCGUAAAGGGCGCGCAGGCGGUUUGGUAAGUCAGAUGUGAAAGCCCACGGCUCAACCGUGGAAGUGCAUUUGAAACUGUCAGACUUGAGUACUAGAGGGGAAAGUGGAAUUCCCGGUGUAGAGGUGAAAUUCGUAGAUAUCGGGAGGAAUACCGGUGGCGAAGGCGACUUUCUGGCUAGAUACUGACGCUGAGGCGCGAAAGCGUGGGGAGCAAACAGGAUUAGAAACCCCAGUAGUCC